rnacentral:tRNA from 1 species
GGGACGCUGGCGGACAGAACGGCACGAGAUGGCAUGUCGCGGCACCGGAUGGCAGUGAACCCGUAAGCUUUUAAUCCGUAGGUUCUGGGUUCGAGUCCCAGGCGCCCUACCA